AUGAACGCUGGCGGCGUGCCUAAUACAUGCCAGUCGAGCGAACGGACGAGAAGCUUGCUUCUCUGAUGUUAGCGGCGGACGGGUGAGUAACACGUGGAUAACCUACCUAUAAGACUGGGAUAACUUCGGGAAACCGGAGCUAAUACCGGAUAAUAUUUUGAACCGCAUGGUUCCAAAGUGAAAGACGGUCUUGCUGUCACUUAUAGAUGGAUCCGCGCUGCAUUAGCUAGUUGGUAAGGUAACGGCUUACCAAGGCAACGAUGCAUAGCCGACCUGAGAGGGUGAUCGGCCACACUGGAACUGAGACACGGUCCAGACUCCUACGGGAGGCAGCAGUAGGGAAUCUUCCGCAAUGGGCGAAAGCCUGACGGAGCAACGCCGCGUGAGUGAUGAAGGUCUUCGGAUCGUAAAACUCUGUUAUUAGGGAAGAACAUAUGUGUAAGUAACUGUGCACAUCUUGACGGUACCUAAUCAGAAAGCCACGGCUAACUACGUG
rnacentral:rRNA from 1 species